UUCCCGAUGAGGAAGAAUUCCCAAGAGAUAGGAAGUGCCGUAUGACACUUUAAUCAGCAGCGGCAGCACUCACAAACCCACUUUUUCCAUCCGCCAAUGCCAAUCCUUUGGGUUCGUCUCCUUCAUCGGAUUCGUCUUCAUGGAUUGUUCAUCGGUCGGGAUUACGUAGGCUACAGUGUACCGUUGUGUGGGUGAUUUGAAACGGGUCUCUGAGGGUA
rnacentral:snoRNA from 1 species